GAUGAACGCUGGCGGCGUGCCUAAUACAUGCAGGUCGAGCGAACAGACGAGGAGCUUGCUCCUCUGACGUUAGCGGCGGACGGGUGAGUAACACGUGGAUAACCUACCUAUAAGACUGGGAUAACUUCGGGAAACCGGAGCUAAUACCGGAUAAUAUAUUGAACCGCAUGGUUCAAUAGUGAAAGACGGUUUUGCUGUCACUUAUAGAUGGAUCCGCGCCGCAUUAGCUAGUUGGUAAGGUAACGGCUUACCAAGGCGACGAUGCGUAGCCGACCUGAGAGGGUGAUCGGCCACACUGGAACUGAGACACGGUCCAGACUCCUACGGGAGGCAGCAGUAGGGAAUCUUCCGCAAAGGGCGAAAGCCUGACGGAGCAACGCCGCGUGAGUGAUGAAGGUCUUCGGAUCGUAAAACUCUGUUAUUAGGGAAGAACAAAUGUGUAAGUAACUAUGCACGUCUUGACGGUACCUAAUCAGAAAGCCACGGCUAACUACGUG
rnacentral:rRNA from 1 species